rnacentral:rRNA from 1 species
GGGACGAAGCGCAAGUGACGGUACCUGUAUAAAAAGCACCGGCUAACUACGUGCCAGCAGGGGACGAAGCGCAAGUGACGGUACAUGCAAAAAAAGAACAGGCUAACUACGUGCCAGCAGCCGCGGUAAUACGUAGGGUGCGAGCGUUGUCCGGAAUUACUGGGCGUAAAGAGCUCGUAGGCGGUUUGUCACGUCGUCUGUGAAAUCCCUCGGCUUAACCGGGGGCGUGCAGGCGAUACGGGCAGACUUGAGUACUACAGGGGAGACUGGAAUUCCUGGUGUAGCGGUGAAAUGCGCAGAUAUCAGGAGGAACACCGGUGGCGAAGGCGGGUCUCUGGGUAGUAACUGACGCUGAGGAGCGAAAGCAUGGGUAGCGAACAGGAUU